rnacentral:lncRNA from 1 species
CUGCUCAGUGAGUUUACAUGUUAGAGGUAGUGGGGUAUAGUGACACAGUAACAGAGGGAUUGAGGCCCUGCUCAGUGAGUUUACAUGUUAGAGGGAGUGGGGUAUAAUGACACAGUAACAGAGGGAUUGAGGGCCCUGCUCAGUGAGUUUACAUGUUAGAGGGAGUGCGGUAUAGUGACACAGUAACAGAGGGAUUGAGGCCCUGCUCAGUGAGUUUACAUGUUAGAGGUAGUGGGGUAUAGUGACACAGUAACAGAGGAUUGAGGCCUGCUCAAGUGAGUUUACAUGCUGGUGGUAUAGCAGCACAGCCAGAGGUUAGGAGCCUGCUCAGUGAGCUUACAUGUUAGAGGUAGGUAUAGUGACACAGUAACAGAGGGAUUGAGGGCCUGCUCAGUGUGUUUACAUGUUAGAGGUAGUGGGGUAUAGUGACACAGUAACAGAGGGAUUGAGGGCCCUGCUCAGUGAGUUUACAUGUUAGAGGUAGUGGGGUAUAGUGACACAGUAACAGAGGGAUUGAGGCCCUGCUCAGUGUUUACAUGCUAGAGGAAGUGGGGUAUAGUGACACAGUAACAGAGGGAUUAAGGGCCUGCUCAAUAAUCUUACAUGCUAGAGGGAGUGGGGUAUAGUGACACAGUAACAGAGGGAUUGAGGGCCCUGCUCAGUGAGUUUACAUGUUAGAGGGAGUGGGGUAUAGUGACAGUAACAGGGAUUGAGGGCCUGCUCAGUGAGUUUACAUGUUAGAGGGAGUGGGGUAUAGUGACACAGUAACAGAGGGAUUGAGGCCCUGCUCAGUGAGUUUACAUGCUAGAGGGAGUGGGGUAUAGUGACACAGUAACAGGGAUUGAGGCCCUGCUCAGUGAGUUUACAUGUUAGAGGGAGUGGGGUAUAGUGACACAGUAACAGAGGGAUUGAGGGCCCUGCUCAGUGAGUUUACAUGUUAGAGGGGGUGGGGUAUAGUGACACAGUAACAGAGGGAUUGAGGGCCUGCUCAGUGAGUUUACAUGUUAGAGGGAGUGGGGUAUAGUGGCACAGUAACAGAGGGAUUUAGGGCCUGCUCAGUGAGUUUACAUGUUAGAGGAGUGGGGUAUAGUGACAGUAACAGAGGGAUUGAGGCCCUGCUCAGUGAGUUUACAUGUUAGNNNNNNNNNNNNNNNNNNNNNNNNNNNNNNNNNNNNNNNNNNNNNNNNNNNNNNNNNNNNNNNNNNNNNNNNNNNNNNNNNNNNNNNNNNNNNNNNNNNNUAACAGAGGGAUUGAGGGCCUGCUCAGUGAGUUUACAUGUUAGAGGGAGUGGGGUAUAGUGUAACAGAGGGAUUGAGGCCCUGCUCAGUGAGGUUACAUGUUAGAGGGAGUGGGGUAUAGUGACACAGUAACAGAGGGAUUGAGGCCCUGCUCAGUGAGUUUACAUGUUAGAGGGAGUGGGGUAUGGUGAAACAGUAACAGAGGGAUUGAGGGCCUGCUCAGUGAGUUUAUAUGUUAGAGGGAGUGGGGUAUAGUGACACAGUAACAGAGGGAUUGAGGGCCUGCUCAAUGAGAUUACAAACUACAGGGAGUGGGGUAUAGUGACACAGUAACAGAGGGAUUGAAGGCCCUGCUCAAUGAGAUUACAUACUACAGGGAAUGGGGUAUAGUGACACAGUAACAGAGGGAUUGAGGGUCUGAUCAGUGAGUUUACAUGCUAGAAGGAGUGGGGUAUAGUGACAGUAACAGAGGGAUUGAGGGCCUGCUCAGUGAGUUUACAUAUUAGAGGGAGUGGGGUGUAGUGACACAGUAACAGAGGGAUUGAGGGUCCUGCUCAGUGAGUUUACAUGUUAGAGGGAGUGGGGUAUAGUGACACAGUAACAGAGGGAUUGAGGGCCCCGCUCAGUGAGUUUACAUGUUAGAGGGAGUGGGGUAUAGUGACACAGUAACAGAGGGAUUGAAGGCCCUGCUCAAUGAGAUUACAUACUACAGGGAGUGGGGUAUAGUGACACAGUAACAGAGGGAUUGAGGGCCUGCUCAGUGAGUUUACAUGUUAGGGGGAGUGGGGUAUAGUGACAGUAACAGAGGGAUUGAGGGCCUGCUCAGUGAAUUUACAUGUUAGGGGGAGUGGUGUAUAGUGACACAGUAAAAGAGGGAUUGAGGGCUUGCUUAGUGAGUUUACAUGUUAGAGGGAGUGGGGUGUAGUGACACAGUAACAGAGGGAUUGAUGGACCUGCUCAGUGAGCUUACAUGUUAGAGGGAGUGGGGUAUAGUAAAGUGACACAGUAACACAGGGAUUGAGGGCCUGCUCAGUGAGUUUACAAGUUAGAAGGAGUGGGGUAUAGUGACACAGUAACAGAGGGACUGAGGGCCUGUUCAGUGAGUUUACAUGCUAAAGGGAGUGGGGUAUAGUAAAGUGACACAGUUACACAGGGAUUGAGGGCCUGCUCAGUGAGUUUCCAAGUUAGAUUGAGUGGGGUAUAGUGACACAGUAACAGAGGGAUUGAGGGCCUGCUCAAUGAGAUUACAAACUACAGGGAGUGGGGUAUAGUGACACAGUAACAGAGGGAUUGAAGGCCCUGCUCAAUGAGAUUACAUACUACAGGGAAUGGGGUAUAGUGACACAGUAACAGAGGGAUUGAGGGCCUGCUCAGUGAGUUUACAUAUUAGAGGGAGUGGGGUAUAGUGACACAGUAACAGAGGGAUUGAGGGCCUGCUCAAUGAGUUUACAUGCUAGAAGGAGUGGGGUAUAGUGACACAGUAACAGAGGGAUUGAGGGCCCUGCUCAGAGAGUUUACAUGUUAGAGGGAGUGGGGUAUAGUGACACAGUAACAGAGGGAUUGAGGCCCCUGCUCAGAGAGUUUACAUGUUAGAGGGAAUGGGGUAUAGUGACACAGUAACAGAGGGAUUGAGGGCCCUGCUCCGUGAGUUUACAUGUUAGAGAGAGUGGGGUAUAGUGACACAGUAACUGAGGGAUUGAGGGCUUGCUCAGUCAGUUUACAUGUUAGAUGGAGUGGGGUAUAGUGACACAGUAACAGAGGGAUAGAGGGCCCUGCUCAGUGAGUUUACAUGCUAGAGGGAGUGGGGUAUAGUGACACUGUAACAGAGGGAUUGAGAGCCUGCUCAGUGAGUUUACAUGUUAGAGGGAGUGGGGUAUAGUGACACAGUAACAGAGGGACUGAGGGAGUGGGGUAUAGUGACAUAGUAACAGAGGGACUGAUGGCCCUGCUCAGUGAGCUUACAUGUUAGAGGGAGUGGGGUAUAGUGAGACUGUAAGCGAGGGAUUGAGGGCCCUGCUCAGUGAGCUUACAUGCUAGAGGGAGUGGGGUAUAGUGACACAGUAACAGAGGGAUUGAAGGCCUGCUCACUGAGCUUACAUGUUAGAGGGAGUGGGUAGUGGCGUACACAUGACCAAUGGUGCCCCGGUGCAAAAAUUGAUCCGUGCCCCCCCCACCCCCCCCUGGCGCGGGUCGGGGUUGCAACACAUGGUGGCGGGCACCUGGUCGCAGGGAUUGCAGGGCUGCAACCCCGCGACCGCGGUAUGCACACACACUUAAAGGACCACUACAGACACCCAGAUCACAUCAGCUCAAUGAAGUGGUCUGGGUGCCAGGUCCCUCUAGUUUUAACCCUGCAGCUGAAAACAUAGCAGUUUCAGAGAAACGGCUAUGUUUCACUGAGGGUUAAUCUAGCCUCUGGUGGCUGUCUCAUUGACAGCUGCUAGAGGAGCUUCCGCAAUUCUCACUGUGAAAAUCACAGUGAGAAGACACUGAACGUCCAUAGGAAAGCAUUGAGUAAUGCUUUCCUAUGGGCGGUUUAAAUGCGCGCGCGCCUCUUGCCGCGCAUGUGCAUUUUGGAGCUGAGUGGCGGACACUGGGGAGUCUGACGCUGGAGAAAGGUAAAUGCACACACUCUCACGAACAGACGCAUACACACUAGCUAACAGACACACAUUUACUGACAGAGACACACUCAGUGACAGACAUACAUACACACUCACUUACAAAACAUACACUUUCACUGACAAACACACACUCACUAACAGACAUCGAACACACUCAGUAACAGACACACACAGUAACACACUAACUAGCAAACACACACCCAAUAACAGACACAUUCACUGACACACACAUACACUAACACACACUCUAACACACACACUCUAACACACACACUCUAACACACACACUCUAACACACACAUACACUAACACACACUCUAACACACACUCUAACACACAAAUACACUAACACACACACACACUAACACACACACAUUUUUUUUUUCAAAUUUAAUCCCCCCAGCCUCCUUACCUUUUGGAGUGCUGGGGGAUUCCCUGGGGUCCAGUGGUGGUGCUGCUGGGCUCCUGGGCGGCAGGUCACUGUGGGCAGGUGGCCGGUCAGGCAAGCGGGCGCGCGAGGGAGAACUCACUGCUUCCUCUUCAGCUCCCUCGCGCGCCGCGUAGGUAUGCCGGCGCCGGAAGAUGACGUCAUCUUCCGGCUCCGGCAUCAGUGCGGUGCGCGAGGGAGCUGAAGAGGAAGCAGUGAGUGCUCCCUCGCGCGCCCGCUUGCCUGACCGGCCACCUGCCCGGUGACAGCAGGGCCAGCCUCGGGGGGGCCUGAGGUGACCGGCUCCUGGGCCCCCCCAGGGGAAGAGGCUGGCCCUGUGGCUACAUACCGGGUCGCAGGGGCGGCCGGGCCGCGACCCCUGCGACCCUGGUAUGUACGCCACUGGGAGUGGGGUAUAGUGACACAGUAACAGAGGGAUUGAGGGCUUGCUUAAAUGUUAGAGGGAGUGGGGUAUAGUGACACAGUAACAGAUGGAUUGAGGGCCCUGCUCAGUGAGUUUACAUGUUAGAGGGAGUGGGGUAUAGUGACACAGUAACAGAGGGAUUGAGGGCCCUGCUCAGUGAGUUUACAUGUUAGAGGGAGUGGGGUAUAGUGACACAGUAACAGAGGGAUUGAGGGCCUGCUCAGUGAGUUUACAUGUUAGAGGGAGUGGGGUAUAGUGACACAGUAACAGAGGGAUUGAGGGCCUGCCCAGUGAGUUUACAUGUUAGAGGGGGUGGGGUAUAGUGACACAGUAACAGAGGGAUUGAGGGCCUGCUCAGUGAGUUUACAUGUUAGAGGGAGUGGGGUAUAGUGACACAGUAACAGAGUGAUUGAGGGCCCUGCUCAUUGAGUUUACAUGUUAGAGGGAGUGGGGUAUAGUGACACAGUAACAGAGGGAUUGAGGGCCCUGCUCAGUGAGUUUACAUGUUAGAGUGUGUGGGGUAUAGUGACAGUAACAGAGGGAUUGAGGGCCUGCUCAGUGAGUUUACAUGUUAGAGGGAGUGGGGUAUAGUGACACAGUAACAGAGGGAUUGAGGGCCUGCUCAGUGAGUGUACAUGUUAGAGGGAGGGGCAGUGACAGUAACAGAGGGAUUGAGGCCUGCUCAGUGAGCUACAUGCAUUGCUCAGUCAGUUUACAUGUUAGAGGGAGUGGGGUAUAGUGACACAGUAACAGAGGGAUUGAGGGCCCUGCUCAGUGAGUUUACAUGUUAGAGGGAGUGGGGUAUAGUGACACAGUAACAGAGGGAUUGAGGGCCUGCCCAGUGAGUUUACAUGUUAGAGGGAGUGGGGUAUAGUGACACAGUAACAGAGGGAUUGAGGGCCCUGCCCAGUGAGUUUACGUUAGAGGGAGUGGGGUAUAGUGACAGUAACAGAGGGAUUGAGGGCCCUGCUCAGUGAGUUUACAUGUUAGAUGGAGUGGGGUAUAGUGACACAGUAACAGAGGGAUUGAGGGUCCUGCUCAGUGAGUUUACAUGUCAGAGGGAGUGGGG